AUGCAGUCGGAGACGACAGAAUAAAGAACUUGGUCCCUUGACGUUCGCGUCGGAGACGUGAGUAACAUGUGGAGACCUACCUAUGAUACAGGGGGAACUUCCGGAAACCGGAGCUAAUACCCGAUAACAUAUUGAACCGCAAGGUGCGGUACUGUAAGGCCGCUUUGCUGUCGAUUAUCCAUGGAUCCACGCCGUAGUAGCUAGUUUGUAAGGUCACGGCUUACACAAGCCACAAUUCGUAUGAGACGAGAAACGGUGAUCGGCCACACUGGAACUGAGACACAGUCCAAACUCCUACAGGAGGCAGCAAUAUGGAAUCUUCCGCAAUGGGCUAAUGCCUGACUGACCAGCGCCUCAAGAGUGAUGAAGGUCUUCGGAUCGUAUAACUCUGUUAUCAAGGAGUAACAGAUGUGUAACUCACUGUGUGCCUCUAGACGGUACCUAAUCACAAGGCCACUGCUAACUACCUGCCACCAUCCGCGGUAAUACGUAAGUGGUAAGCGUAAUUCGGAAUUAUUGGGCGUAAAGCGCGCGUAUGCUGUUUUUUAAGUCUGAUGUGAAAGCCCACGGCUCAACCUGGGAUGGUCAUUGGAAACUGUAAAUCUUGAAUACAGAAGAAGAAAUUGGAAUUCCAUGUGUAACUGUGAAAUGCUCAGAAAUAUGGACGAUCACCAAUGGCGAACGCUACAUUAUGAUCUGUAACUGACUCUGAUGUGCUAAAGCGUGAGGAUCAUACAAGAUUAUAUACCCUGGUACUCCACGCCAUAUACGAUUAGUGCUUGGUGUCAUGGGGUUUCCGCUCCUUAGUGCUGCAGCUAACUCAAUAGGCAGUCCGCCUGGGGAGUACGACCGCAAGGUUGAUGCUCUGAGGAAUUGACGGGGACCCGCACAAGCGGGUGAGCAUGUGGUUUAAUUCGAAGCAACGCGUAGAAGCUUAUCAAAUCUUGACAUC
rnacentral:rRNA from 1 species